GACGAACGCUGGCGGCGUGCCUAAUACAUGCAAGUCGAGCGCAGGAAACUGACGGAACUCUUCGGAGGGAAGGCAGUGGAAUGAGCGGCGGACGGGUGAGUAACACGUAAGGAACCUGCCUCAAGGAUUGGGAUAACUCCGAGAAAUCGGAGCUAAUACCGGAUAGUUCAUCGGACCGCAUGGUCCGUUGAUGAAAGGCGCUCCGGCGUCACCUUGAGAUGGCCUUGCGGUGCAUUAGCUAGUUGGUGGGGUAACGGCCCACCAAGGCGACGAUGCAUAGCCGACCUGAGAAGGUGAUCGGCCACACUGGGACUGAGACACGGCCCAGACUGCUACGGGAGGCAGCAGUAGGGAGUCUUCCACAAUGGACGAAAGUCUGAUGGAGCAACGCCGCGUGAGUGAUGAAGGUUUUCGGAUCGUAAAACUCUGUUGUAAGGGAAGAACACGUACGAGAGGAAAUGCUCGUACCUUGACGGUACCUUACGAGAAAGCCACGGCUAACUACGUGCCAGCCGCCGCAGUAA
rnacentral:rRNA from 1 species